UUGCAUUUCGCCACCUCCAUCCCUGUGCUCCUCACCCUGUAAGGGCAGGAGAAAGCUCCCUGGCAGUGGCCCAGCCUCGGCAGCCAGCAGUUGCCAGAUACAGUGGUGCUAAUUGUCCUUGAACUGGGAACAAAUACGCAUUCACAGCGUCGUAAAUUAUUGCCAGCAGUCUCCCAAUGCCCCUACACCUGUUUCAGAUCUGUCACACAAGGCCAUCGUAUUUUUCCUUUUAAAGAGGCAGAUUAUUUGCUGAUCACGUAACUGGAGACGUCCAGUGCAGGACUCUGCAAGAACCCUCUGUAAUUCGGUGACACCCACUCCUCAGGGCAGAGCAAAGGGUGACACUGCUUGAGAAGUGCUGGUGCUAGAUCAGGGCAGGGAAGGAACAUAUAAGCCAAGCAACAUCCACAGCUGCUCCCAAAGAAUGGACUUCACACUCAGAAGAAAAGACGUCUGGGUUGUAGGUAGCGUGUGCCUUCUCUCGUCUUCAGUUCUCUGGUGCUUGAUCCGGUUCGUGAUGACCCGGGGAGGCCACUGGCAGACUCCUGCUCUUGAGGACGUGCAGCUUUCAUGCAGCUGUUGAGAAGUCCAAACAAGUUCAGAAUCCUGAUCUUUUGUGUGUGGCCUAUAUUUUCUCUCUCUAGCAACUUGGGAAACCUUCUAUUUGUCCUUGUAUUGGGAAAAGUUUCUGCCAGAACCAAGAACCACUGUCCAGUCUUGCUCUGUCACCCAGGCUGGAGUGCGGUGGUGUGAUCUUGGCUCACUGCAACCUCUGCCCCCCAAGUUCAAGCGAUUCUCCUGCCUUGGCCUCCCGAGUAGCUGGGACUACAGAUGGAAUCUUGCUGUGUCUCCAGGCUGGAGUGUAGUGGCGCGAUCUCGGCUCACUGCAACCUCUGCCUCCCGGGUUCAAGCAAUUCUCCUGCCUCAGCCUCCCGAGUAGCUGGGACUACAGGUGCCAGCCAUCACGCCCGGCUAAUUUUUUGUAUUUUUAGUAGAGAUGGGGUUUCACCAUGUUGGCCAGGAUGGUCUCGAUCUCCUGACCUCGUGAUCUACCCGCCUCAGCCUCCCAAAGUGCUGGGAUUAUAGGCGUGAGCCACCGCGCCCAGCCUAGUCUCUGCUUUUUUAAAAAAAAUGUUAGGACAGUGGUCCCUAAACUUGUCUGUGUAUUAGAAUCACCUGGGAAAUCUUUAAAAAUUCUAAGGACCAGGUAAAUUAAAUUAUAAUCUCUGGGAAUAGGACUGAUUUUUGUAUUUUUAGUAGAGACGGGGUUUUGCCAUGUUCACCAGGCUGGUCUCGAACUCCUGACCUCAGGUGAUCCACCCGCCUCAGCCUCCCAAAGUGUUGGGAUUACAGGUGUGAGCCACCACAUCCAGCCCAGACUAAUUUUUCUGAUGACAAAUGCUGCUUGUUGAUGUGAAUUCUGAUAUGGCACACACUUGAGCCUCACUUUGUUAGCUAUUAAUUUGUGUUACUGAAUUUACAGGCCUGGAAUACAAUUUGUGCUUCUUUUUAAAUAAAUUUCAUACUUUUUUUUUAAUGGACUUGUAAUCUACCUGAACUUGAA
rnacentral:lncRNA from 1 species